AGCUUGCUUCUAUGACGUUAGCGGCGGACGGGUGAGUAACACGUGGGCAACCUGCCUGUAAGACUGGGAUAACUUCGGGAAACCGAAGCUAAUACCGGAUAGGAUCUUCUCCUUCAUGGGAGAUGAUUGAAAGAUGGUUUCGGCUAUCACUUACAGAUGGGCCCGCGGUGCAUUAGCUAGUUGGUGAGGUAACGGCUCACCAAGGCAACGAUGCAUAGCCGACCUGAGAGGGUGAUCGGCCACACUGGGACUGAGACACGGCCCAGACUCCUACGGGAGGCAGCAGUAGGGAAUCUUCCGCAAUGGACGAAAGUCUGACGGAGCAACGCCGCGUGAGUGAUGAAGGCUUUCGGGUCGUAAAACUCUGUUGUUAGGGAAGAACAAGUACGAGAGUAACUGCUCGUACCUUGACGGUACCUAACCAGAAAGCCACGGCUAACUACGUGCCAGCAGCCGCGGUAAUACGUAGGUGGCAAGCGUUAUCCGGAAUUAUUGGGCGUAAAGCGCGCGCAGGCGGUUUCUUAAGUCUGAUGUGAAAGCCCACGGCUCAACCGUGGAGGGUCAUUGGAAACUGGGGAACUUGAGUGCAGAAGAGAAAAGCGGAAUUCCACGUGUAGCGGUGAAAUGCGUAGAGAUGUGGAGGAACACCAGUGGCGAAGGCGGC
rnacentral:rRNA from 2 species